CCUUUGAUAUCUUGGCUGUCUGCUUAGGGUCACUGGGCCUCAUUCACCAAUAUCUUCUCAAGAAUCUUCUUAGAUUCCUUCUUAAGCUGUCCCUAAGAAGGUUCUUAAG